UCGCAGCGAACGGGUGAGGAAUACGCAAAUAUUUUUUGUCUACCUUUUAAUUUAAGAUAAACUAUACCUAUUAAAAACUUUAAUUUUUUUUAGGGUGAAACUAUUUUUUUAGUUUGUAGUAAUAUUAAAUAAUUUUUUAGUCCUGAAAUACUAAAGAAACAAAAAUUAUAAAUUAAGUAAUUGUUAAAAGAUGGGUUUGUGGAAGAUUAGGUUGUUGGUAGAAAUAACAGUUUACCAAGCCUUUGAUCUUUAGUUGGUCUUAGAGGACGUACAACCACACUGGAACUGAGACAAGGUCCAGGCUAAUUUUUUGGCCAGCAGUGAGGAAUAUUGGACAAUGAACGAAAGUUUGAUCCAGCAAUAUUAUGUGAAUGAUUGACGACUAAUUUUUGGUUGUAAAAUUCUUUCGUUAAAGAUGAUAAUGACCUUAUUUAAAGAAGUUUUAGUCCCGGCUAAUCUCGUGCCAGCAGCCGCGGUAAUACGGGAGGGGCAAGCGUUAUCCGAAAUUACUGGGCGUAAAGAGUCCGUAGAUUGUAAUAUAAGUUAUAUGUUAAAAUUUAAAGCUCAACUUUAAAAAAAUA
rnacentral:rRNA from 1 species